AUAACUUUGACAUUAACUACAACCAAGAGUGUCUUUGAUCUUCAGCAGGACUUGGCAGAGCUGUCCCUUAGUCAGUGGAAAUCCAUUUCCUGAUGCUCCCAGCAUUGCAAAAUACCCACAAAACUGAAGGGUUUGGGAGGAUGUUGAGGUCUAGCGUGCCAAUAACAUGUGCCCCCCAUGUACUUAGAAGGGGCAAGCAAAGCAAGGGGGGACCACUGCCACCCCUCUGCAUGACCACACAGCCCUUGGGUCGCCGUUCAACCUGUGAGACAUUAUUUAGGAGUUGGGGGAUGUGCUAGCUGGCUACACUGAGAAUAAAAUCCUGGCUGCAGCAGCACACUGCUCCCAGCCCAAUCCCCCUGUAUGGGCUGGUAGAUGGGCAUGGGCCAGGGCCAGGGCCAGGGCCAGCACAGCAGGGCAUGGCCACCAAGGCCAGUCAGGCCUGCGCCCUGCCAGAACACAACUCCUCCCAUGAGGUGAUUUUCAGGAGCAGCUGCCCAGUGCAACGGUACAUAUUUGCUUCUGAAUCCUUUCUCAAAGGCACUAUUUAAACAUGUUGAUGAACUGAACUGGAUUUCUCCCCACCUCCAUUCCAGCAAAACAAGGAGACUCAGAAGAUAAAAUUUGUUUUGAUAUUGCAAGUAGUGCUAUGUGGCUGUACCUACCAUGAUUUGAAAAUGAAAUUCAAAGUAUUGACAAGGUGAUGAAUCUUCUCCUUCUCUGAACUUCACAUACUCAGAGGCUUUCAGAAACUAAUUGAAGCUGUGAAAAAAAUACACCAAAAGAGUGAAAAAAGAUCUGUGGAUUUCAUUUAGAAAUAGUUUUGUCUUUUGGACGAGUUGCAACAUGAAAACAAGUAUUUAUGAUAGAAAUGCUGACAUAACUUCACUAAUAGCACCUCUAACAGAGAUUGUUACAAUGUGUAUUUACUCAGUACAGCAUUAAAUAAGAGAUGUGAACUCACCAUAGCAACCCCUGCAUCACAUUGCAGAUAUGCUGCUUCUAAGAUACGGCAAACGUUUCUGAAGGAAUAUACACAAAUAUUAGGUAAACAUCUAUCAAUUGCAAAUUGGCUUUCAAAAAUACUUUGCUAAACAGUAUUAUAAAAAGCAGUAUAGCUUGAUGCUAUGUAAAUUAAUAAAUUAUGGCUGGACUUUGCUUUUUAUUUUCUCAUGAUUGUUACCUCAAAAUGUAAUUUUAAGCAGCUCCCCAACUGUCUAUGAGAAAAAUAGUGGCAAGUACAUUAUUGAGCUCCUCCAAAAUGUCACCUAGAAUCUUUACCCACCCAGCAGACUCACCUGUCCCUUUCAGGCCUUCUCUUUCUGCCAUCCUGAGAUCUUGCUAAAAUACUGCUCUUCACCACAAGAGAUCCAGAGGAAUUAUAUGGAUACAGUCAAUGCUAGAAGUAGGUUUUCUGCUGAACUGUCAUAGUCCAUUUUUAAACAUAUGACUAUUUGCUCUUCAUUACCACUCUACUCUUACUUUUCAGUUUGAAUUUUAUCCACUAAUAUGUAUUCAUUUAACUUGUCUUUAUUCAAAUGGAUUUCUAUCCUUGGCAUGAACAAAAUGUCAUUGUAUUGGCAACAUUACUUUUUUUUUUUCUCUUAAUUUUUUCAUCCUUUUAGUGAGUCUCCUAUGACUGAUAUAAACAUUUUCUGUGUUUAGUUUUGGCACUCCUCUUUUGGUGGCCUGAUCCUUAAAGUUCCAGUAUUAUAUCUUAAUGAAAAGCUUUUAAGUUGCUACUGAAUUACCAUCAACUUCAGCUUGACCAAAAUCCUUGGCAGGUUGCCUGUUCAUAUACAUCAACUUUAAAUUACUUCUGCAGUACCUAAAACAAGAUCCUGAUGAUGUGCAGUGGGUUGCCAUGCCUGCUGCAAUCAAGAUUUUGCUGUCAGAUCUUCCUUAUACUCUAUCCAACAAUUCUUAACAGACUUUACUCCUGGAAGGUGAAGUAAGUGAUCGCACUUGCUUUGAUCUUUUAUUGAUAGUAAGCAACUGUACUUUCUCUUCCUAUAUCUCACUUGCACAAGGGGAACACCUAUUUUCUCACAUUACCUGAGAAGACUGGUAAAGAAUAUAAACAGAACUCUUUUUUUUUUUUCUUUUUUUUUUUUUUUCUGUCUUUGUUUGUCUCUGUAGGUUCUUUCAUCACUGCUGGCCAGCUUUGUUUGGAGACACAUGCAAUGUCUUCAAUCACUUGGUUAUAUGUCCAGGCACAGGAUCUCAUGUGAGCAGGUCAAGAACUGUACGCGGUUCAAGGGCUGCAGACUUCCUUCCUCCCCAUAUCUAGUCUAUGGGGACUAUGUGGAGGAGAAGGAAACUGAGAGAAGGCUGCUAGUUCUACCAAAUUGCUACUAAUCUAAAGGCAUGGUUAUCUUUCUUGCUUCUUCCCUCAAGUCUACUUUUGCCUACUUGCACUGAUCAACUACCUGAUUUGUCAGUGAACUGGAUAUUUGAAGAUAUCCUCUAUUUUCUGAAGAAAGGAAGAGAUUACACUGGGUGUUGUUCAAAAUAGUGGUUCACCUGGAUGCAAACUGACAUAUACAUCGCAUUUGUGAUUGUUGAGGGCCAGUAUACUAAGAUGAACUAUAAUGCACCCAGAUGCUCACUGUCUGUAGAAACAUGGGGUGUUAUACCUACGGAUUUAUUUCACGGAAUAUAACAAAACUAAGAAAAACUUAAUUUCAUGAUUCACCACAGAAUCACCUAUGGGCCUAAACCUCUGAAAAGUUGUCCAGUGUAAUCAUCAAUAGCAAUUACUUUCUACACUUCACAUCAGAAAGCUCUGUACUUCACAGAAAACAUCUUGGUAGUUCUUCUAUACUUCAGCAUUGCCUCUGCCUCAACAUCAAUUGCAGGCCAACAGAGAGAUGCUUCCCAUAAGAACACUUUGCCACCCUCUAACAUCUAUCUGUAGUAUAAGAGAAUAGGUAUUGAAUACCAGACUAGCCCAACAGACCUGUGUCCAGGACUAUAUUAAAGUAACAUAAUAUAAUACUGCUGUUUAUCUAAAAUAAUGGGUCUGACAAGCAUUAUUUUUAGUCUUAGAGAAACUGUAAGAGUUCACGUGCCAUUUUUACUUGAUUUUUAUUAUAUUUUAAGCAUUCAAAACUUCAGCAGAAUAAGUUGUGUGAAGAACACAACCACCUGAACAAAGCAAUAAAUGAAUUGAAUCCUUAUUCUUGGGACUAACAAGGAAAGAAAAGAGGCUGUUACUGAAAAUAUUCAAGUAUCUUCAAUGUAUUGAAAUUUCUGUGAAGUGUCAAAGUCCAGAAAAGAUGGAGAAAUUAUAAGAUCCAACAGUUAUUGUUCAGGUGUGUUCUAGAUUCAUGUCCUUCUAUUUAGUAUUCUGAAUUAUGUGUUAGAGAUAUUAUACAUCUCAGACAAGAAGAGUGAAAAAUCUUGAGCUAUGUUAAAACAAUCUGUUAAAAUGUUAUCUGAAAAUUAUGAAAAUGACAGAGUUUUUGCCAGAAAAAAUAAUGUGAAAGUCAAGCAAACAUUGUAGCACCCUAAAACAGCACCAGUGGCACAGAUAUAAAUAAAGAAAUCUCAAAAGAAUUAAUGCAACUAUUAAAAUGCAAAAAUUGUACGUUUGAUAACAAUUAUUAAAAUGAGUCCUAGUAAGCAGUAUAAUCUAUUUUUUUGUAAAAUCCUCAAAAUACAUGGAUGUGCUUCCUAAAUAGAAAACACAUGUAAAAACUUGUUUGGAACAGGCUCAGACAAAUUAUCCUUUAAGGUUUCUGGUUUGUCAGAGGUGAGGUGGAGUGUGUUAUCAGGAGUAAGAUGAGCAGUAUGUCCCUGGUUAGUGUCCUUGCUAUUGAUAAAUACAUGCCAACAGAUACAGAUCUAGGUUAAAAUGGUGCUGUCAUCAAAUUGCUGAAAUUUCUGCCUUUGAAUGUACAUUGUCAUUUAUACUUAAAUAAUGAAAUUUAUCCUUUGAUACACAAGAAAUGAUGUUCUUUCUACCAUGCAAACUCACAAGUUUGUGUGAAUUUUCAGAUCUACAUAACUGGAUUUGGAGAAUGAAAAAUAAUAUCAAGGAAUAUAAUUUUAAUAACUUCUGUAUGGCUAAAACUCAUUUUCACCUUGCUGAUAUUGGAUACCAAGGUACCAAAGCCGUGAUCAGAUUCUAACACUUCCUUUCCUUUUUCCCUGUCCCUAAGUUUGUCUUACAUGCUGUUGAGGUAGCAAACCACUUUGUGGUUUUAACGGGACCCAAACUGUUAUCAGUGGUCUC